CGGCGAAUACCACUGGUAAAAAUUCGAAAUCACUCCGGUACAACUUCGGAAAUGAGAAUCCUCUCCUUCAAUCGCAUUCGCUGUAUAUUUCAUUUCUUUUUCAGAUCACCUAUAUUUUGGUAAGAAUUGUGCAUGCUGCAUGUAAAUUGAUUCAUGGUCUGACGUAUUAUCUCAUGUCAAGUGGGAUAUUGACAUAUUCCAAUAUCGAACCAACUUCGGUACCUAGCAAAUUGAUAGUGAAGAAGCAAGAGGUGUAGAGAAAAUUAGAGAGGUUUUGUAUUGGUUAUCUAGUUUUGGGAUUAAUCAUGUCAUUCUCUAUGAUAUGGAAGGUACAUUUUAUUAAUUACAGUUUGAUUUUGUGCUAAUCACUCAUGAAUUUUUAUUUGUCACAGUUUAUAUUGGCUCGGUGUUUUGAUUUUGUGCUGAUCACCCAUGAAUUUUUAUUUGUCACGGUUUAUAUUGUCUAAGUGUUUGAUUUUGUGAUGAUGACUCAAGAUUUUUUAUCUGUCACAGUUUAUAUGCCUUAGUGUUUGAUUUUGUGUUGAUCGCCCGUGAAUUUUUAUCUGUCAUGGUUUAUAUUGCCUCAGUGUUUGAUUUUGUGCUCUGAUCACCUAUGAAUUUUUAUCUGUCACAGUUUAUAUUGCCUCAGUGUUUGAUUUUGUACUGAUCACCCAUGAAUUUUUAUCUGUCACGGUUUAUAUUGCCUCAGUGUUUGAUUUUGUGCUCUGAUCACCCAUGAAUUUUUAUCUGUCACGGUUUAUAUUGCCUCAGUGUUUGAUUUUGUGCUGAUCGCCCAAGAAUUUUUAUUUGUCGCAGUUUAUAUGCCUCAGUGUUUGAUUUUGUGCUGAUCAUCCAUGGAUUUUUAUUUGUCACGGUUUAUAUUGCCUCAGUGUUUGAUUUUGUGCUGAUCGUCUAAGAAUUUUUAUUUGUUGCAGUUUAUAUUGCCUCAUUGUUUGAUUUUGUGCUGAUCACCCAUGAUUUUUUAGGUGUUCUGAAAAAAUAUGAGAUAAGCCGGAAAAGGAUGACAAGGCAUAAUCAAUUGCAAUGCUUUGUGAGUUGUAACCAGUUACCACUAAUCAGUGAAUUUCAUGAGUACUUCUAUUUCUGAUGUCUUUGAUGAAUUACCACCCAGAUAAUUUGCAGGAACAUGACGAUGCACAAGCAUCCGUUGAUUCCAUUCUCGAUUUGCUUUCAGAUAAAAUGUCAGCAGAAGUGUUCUCGUUAUCUGAUGGAAAGGAAGCCAUUGUAAAAUCUGCCAACUUCUUAUAUUCCGAGUUUUAUUUAAAACAUGACAACAACAUAUAUCUUGAUCAGCCAGAGAGAGGCUAUGAUGAAUUGGAUGUUGGUAAUGCUAUAAGAACUGUUGGUUGGUUUUUUUUAUUUCAAAAUUUAUAAUUUUCUAAUGCAUUGACCAGCCUCUAUUGAUUUUCUAAUAAUUUUUUAUAAUUUUCGGAUUUCCUGAUUGGAGGAUGCGAUAUACAGAGAUAGUGCGAGUUAUUGCUGUGAGAACAAUAUAAAAUUGGAAACCCAUGCCUACUUUUUUGUAUCCAUAAACAAUCAUCUAUUGUCAACUAUAUUUUUUCCUACAAUAACAUCUUUAUGAUUUUUUUCUCUUAUAAAUUUUGCCCAUAACCCUCUGUUAAAGAACUUGUUGGCAGUUUGUGUGAAUUCUGCCAAUCAACAAAUUCUAUUGUUUAUUUUGCAGGCAUAUAGGUCCAUUGAAAUCAAAUGAAACACGGUGGGGUGUUGCAAAAGCCAUUUAUGGUCUCUGUUUAAAAAUCAGAAAUAUGGCAUGCUAUUUUUUGACUUGCCAUUUACUUCAUUGAUUAGUUUUACAAGUUGACAUGCUCUCUUUGAUUCAUUUCUCAUGGUGCAUUGGUGUAUGUUUAAAAUAAAUGCCUAUUAAGCAAGCGAACGCCGAAUUUAUCUGGCCUCCUAACUGAAUAUUUUUCACCGUGUUUAAUGAUUUUAGGUUCAUGAUGUGGAUUCUGGUCUGUAACACACUAUGAAACUUCUGGAGAAACAAUUCACAAACAGAUCAAUAGAGCAAGAAAAAUACAUGGUGUAACCUGAAAUAUACCAUUCUUCCAAGGUUGAUCUUGAUAGAAUAUCACAAGAACAUAAGAAUCUUUUAAAAAAAAGCAUCUGGCUAUUCAUAUUUCAAACUAUUUUUGUGAUGAAUGACUAAUGAGGUUAGCUUAUGCAUGCUUUUAGUGGAUUUUAAUAUGAAUGAUGUAUAUUGUUAAUAUUUUUCUCUUUUAUCC
rnacentral:lncRNA from 1 species